AAAUCUUUAAACAGAUUUUAAUAGAGUUGUGUCGAUCAAAAACAUUUCUUUAUUGCCGUGUGUCUUUUAAUGGAGAAUAAGUUUAAUUGGCUAUUGUACGCUGAAAUUAUAUAACCCUUUCAUCUAUGCACAGAAUCAAUUAGCGGAACACAAAUAAUAUUUUCUUGGCAAAGGAAACGUGUAACAUUAAUUCGCAAGUCAAUAUUUACAUGCAAACUGCAAAGUAAUUAGUCUUGUCACUGAAAAAUUGAUAUUUCGUGGAAUUCAUUAAAGAUGCCUUAAGAAAACUGUGAGAUUCCUCGGGCAUUAUCAAUCUCGACGCCUUCUUUUUUACGGCCAUUCGCGCCCUGGAUUCGCCGAACAAUUGUAUAGUGUCAUACAUGGAUUAAAGAAAACUUAACAUGUGCCAAUAAGUUUUUAGAAGUACUUAACAAUAAAACUGGUAAAAUGACAGAAGUCAAGUUCAUUAGCGGUGGGAAAUUAAAUGGCGUAAAAAAGAUUGGAUGCCGGUAGGUUUAAUUAAUCAAUGAAUGGCGCGGACCUGCAUAGUAGAAUGGCAGCAGGGCUUUUAAUCAGGGUACGAAUUCCUCUUUACAUUUCAUUGCCGACAAUUAGCAGAUGAUAUCAGUAAUCAGUGCUACAAUCAAGUGAUAGAACUGCACUGACUCAGUCCUUUUAAUUAAUUUUGUUUGCAAUUUGAGGACUUAAGUGAUUAGAGUACCCUACACUUACAAUACAGCAAACAAAGCGAAAAAUUAAUUGUUAAAAUCAUUUGGUGAUAGGUUUAUUGUGUUAGCGGGGUUCGUUAGCUUAGGCUCUGGCCUGUUCCCGUCAAUUAGGAGAGAGUGCACAUGUCACUGUCGCAGUUGCCAUUACAACAUCGCGCCAAAUUUAGAACAAAAUCGAGUAAUACCAACAAAAUCAACAACAACUUUUUAAGUCCAGUACCACCAUAGCUAUUGACGCCUAAUUCUAAGACGGAAACAAAUGCCGUGAAUAAGCGAACGAUUCGUAUACAACAAAAUCAACAAAAAUUGUAGGCCCAGUAUAAUCAUCUAUAUAUGAAAUCUUAUUCAAAGAUUAAAACAAAUGCCGAGAAUAACCGACGUUUCGCCUCAGUAUGGCCAAAGUAGCAUAAUUUUUCUUUUAGAACAUCUUCAAGAACAGGAGAACCUCGACUCCCCAACUUGGUUGGUCACGGGACAAGGUAAUCCCUCAGACCGCAAAUCCCCCAAAUUACACCGCCACGCUAGAAAGAAGGGGGGAUCGAGAGGUACAUAAACCCUCAAUAAUUGGACGUUGUUAUAAUGGGGACUGAAGGAUUCAAUGUAAUUAAUGUGAAACAACUCUAUUGAAAAGAUAAUGCUCAAAUUCCCCUGAUGCAAGCGCCCCCACUGCUCCCUAAUUGGCAAUUAUAAAGCGUGUACAGAGAACGGACAAGAAAAGAAUUAGGAUGUAUAACAAGAAGCCGCCGCUAGAAAUUUGGUUUGUUUAUCCUCAUCUGAAAUUAAUUGGUUCCCAACAUAAAUUUGGUGCUCAUUAACGAAUUCCAAUUUGAUCUCUUAGAAUGAUGUCUAAAAAGAAGCCAAUUAUACCCUUAAUUUAAACGCUGCAUAAUCAGAAUUUCGGCACAAAUGAGGAACACUGUCUGCAGAAAAGAAUACCACUACCUUGUUAGCUGGUUCGGAGGACUGCAGUGGUUUCAACAAAACCCCUCACCGCCUCUGACACUUGCUCCAAGCAUCCACUUUAUGAUAGGACACCGUAUUAUUCUAGCUGCUGAGACAAACUUCUUUCUAUGAUGACAUUUGUAUAUUCGGUAAAUAGUGCUUCGAUGUAAUUGUUUCUUUCUUUUAUAAAGUAAUGAUUAAUCAACAGC
rnacentral:sRNA from 1 species